rnacentral:lncRNA from 1 species
UUUUUUUGAAGAAACAAAAAUGGUAUAUAUUAACAAAGGCGGUAAAACCUCCUAAGUACAAGAUGUACUAAGAAGUCACCCCUCAAAGAGUCAAACAAAUGUAGUAAUUACAAUAAACCGGGUGCGUCGAUACCUAAACAAAGCAUAGGAUCCGACCACCACCUUUGAGAACCGUACACAAAUGUGGCUUUACUAGCUUUUAGCCACCAUAAAGAGUGUAAUUUUACUUUUUCUGAUAAGCCUUCAAUGGAUGUUUGGGUAUUAUUAAAAAGUCUGUUGUUGCGUUCAUUCCAAACCAUCCACACACAAAGUAACCAAAUGAGCUGCAGAAAGGAUCUACGCGCCCUCGUAUGACCCGUACUAGUAAUAAACUGAAUAAAGUGGUCACUAAGAUCAUGG